rnacentral:rRNA from 1 species
GACGGAGGGGGCAAGCGUUGUUCGGAAUUACUGGGCGUAAAGGGCUCGUAGGCGGCCAACUAAGUCCGACGUGAAAUCCCAAGCUUAACUUUGGAACUGCGUCGGAUACUGGAUGGCUUGAAUUCGGGAGAGGGAUGCAGAAUUCCAGGUGUAGCGGUGAAAUGCGUAGAUAUCUGGAGGAAUACCGGUGGCGAAGGCGGCAUCCUGGACCGACAUUGACGCUGAUGAGCGAAAGCUAGGGGAGCAAACGGG